rnacentral:rRNA from 1 species
GUGGGAAGGCCCAGACAGCCAGGAUGUUGGCUUAGAAGCAGCCAUCAUUUAAAGAAAGCGUAAUAGCUCACUGGUCGAGUCGGCCUGCGCGGAAGAUGUAACGGGGCUAAACCAUGCACCGAAGCUGCGGCAGCGACACUGUGUGUUGUUGGGUAGGGGAGCGUUCUGUAAGCCUGUGAAGGUGUGUCGUGAGGCAUGCUGGAGGUAUCAGAAGUGCGAAUGCUGACAUAAGUAACGAUAAAGCGGGUGAAAAGCCCGCUCGCCGGAAGACCAAGGGUUCCUGUCCAACGUUAAUCGGGGCAGGGUGAGUCGACCCCUAAGGCGAGGCCGAAAGGCGUAGUCGAUGGGAAACGGGUUAAUAUUCCCGUACUUGGUGUUACUGCGAAGGGGGGACGGAGAAGGCUAUGUUGGCCGGGCGACGGUUGUCCCGGUUUAAGCGUGUAGGUGUGUGUUCCAGGUAAAUCCGGUUCACUUUAACACUGAGGCGUGACGACGAGGCACUACGGUGCUGAAGCAACAAAUGCCCUGCUUCCAGGAAAAGCCUCUAAGCAUCAGGUAACAUCAAAUCGUACCCCAAACCGACACAGGUGGUCAGGUAGAGAAUACCAAGGCGCUUGAGAGAACUCGGGUGAAGGAACUAGGCAAAAUGGUGCCGUAACUUCGGGAGAAGGCACGCUGACACGUAGGUGAAGUGAUUUACUCAUGGAGCUGAAGUCAGUCGAAGAUACCAGCUGGCUGCAACUGUUUAUUAAAAACACAGCACUGUGCAAACACGAAAGUGGACGUAUACGGUGUGACGCCUGCCCGGUGCCGGAAGGUUAAUUGAUGGGGUCAGCGCAAGCGAAGCUCCUGAUCGAAGCCCCGGUAAACGGCGGCCGUAACUAUAACGGUCCUAAGGUAGCGAAAUUCCUUGUCGGGUAAGUUCCGACCUGCACGAAUGGCGUAAUGAUGGCCAGGCUGUCUCCACCCGAGACUCAGUGAAAUUGAACUCGCUGUGAAGAUGCAGUGUACCCGCGGCAAGACGGAAAGACCCCGUGAACCUUUACUAUAGCUUGACACUGAACAUUGAGCCUUGAUGUGUAGGAUAGGUGGGAGGCUUUGAAGUGUGGACGCCAGUCUGCAUGGAGCCGACCUUGAAAUACCACCCUUUAAUGUUUGAUGUUCUAACGUGGACCCGUUACCCGGGUUGCGGACAGUGUCUGGUGGGUAGUUUGACUGGGGCGGUCUCCUCCUAAAGAGUAACGGAGGAGCACGAAGGUUGGCUAAUCCUGGUCGGACAUCAGGAGGUUAGUGCAAUGGCAUAAGCCAGCUUGACUGCGAGCGUGACGGCGCGAGCAGGUGCGAAAGCAGGUCAUAGUGAUCCGGUGGUUCUGAAUGGAAGGGCCAUCGCUCAACGGAUAAAAGGUACUCCGGGGAUAACAGGCUGAUACCGCCCAAGAGUUCAUAUCGACGGCGGUGUUUGGCACCUCGAUGUCGGCUCAUCACAUCCUGGGGCUGAAGUAGGUCCCAAGGGUAUGGCUGUUCGCCAUUUAAAGUGGUACGCGAGCUGGGUUUAGAACGUCGUGAGACAGUUCGGUCCCUAUCUGCCGUGGGCGCUGGAGAACUGAGGGGGGCUGCUCCUAGUACGAGAGGACCGGAGUGGACGCAUCACUGGUGUUCGGGUUGUCAUGCCAAUGGCACUGCCCGGUAGCUAAAUGCGGAAGAGAUAAGUGCUGAAAGCAUCUAAGCACGAAACUUGCCCCGA